rnacentral:lncRNA from 1 species
AUGAAACUAUACAAUACGAUGCAAAACUAUAUGAAACAAAAGUCAAACUUGAUGAGUUCGCGUUGCACCACGCAUAGACCACUUGGAAUUGUGUGGCUUCUGCCACAAGGAGACUGGACUUUGUCUUUAGGACUCCAGCCGACGUCAACACGGACGUCUAGACCUAAACACAGACGUCUAGACCUAAACACAGACGUCUAGACCUAAGCACAGACGUCUAGACCUAAACACAGACGUCUAGACCUAAACACAGACGUCUAGACCUAAACACAGCCGUCUAGACCUAAGCAUGGCUGCUAUGCUGCCAUCUACGCUGCCAUCUACACUGCCCAGACCAGACUGUCAUAUGGACAGGAGUGGGAGCUUCUUUAAGGUAAGUGAAGGUUACUCUUGUUAGAGAGAGUACAAAGAUGAGAGAGAGAACGGGACGAGAUAAGACAAGGGGAUGUUGGUGAUGGUAUUACAUCAGAGAGACAGAGACAGAGGGGGUUCUUAAUCCAGAGCCUCCGGCGAUGAUCCACGGUCCGGUUCCACAGAAGUGCGGAGCAGGGGGCUAUGUCCCAAACCGGAGCCACCACCGAGGAUAGAUGCCCACCCAAACCCUCUCCUAUAGAGUUUGGUUUUGCGUCCGGAUCCGCAACCUUUGGGGGGGGGGGGGGGACUGUCACACGCGCCCGGACCUUAGAAGUUUUUUGACCGAGUGUGGUUCCCAAUCAGAGGCAGCUGUCUAUCGUUGUCUCUGAUUGGAAUCAUACUUAGGCAGCCUUUUUCCCACCUAAUGUUGUGGGUAAUUAUUUAUUUUUUGUGUGUGUUUGUGUGCGUCACGGUUGCGUCACGUUCGGUUUCUGUUUAUCUGUUGUUUUUGUGAAGGUUUCAGUUUAUAAAAAAAUGUGGAAUUACAUGCACGCUGCGCCUUGGCUCAUCUAUGACAGGGAGUUUGAAGACAGUGAACGUGACAGGUAGAGCCUAUAAGAAGAACAACAACAACAAUUCCCUGUCUGCUCUCUCAAUGUGGCCAGAAACUGAAUUUCCAUCAACCCCACCACCAACUGUAUGUGUUUGUGCUUGACUCCAUGUACACUCUCAGAAAAAAAGUACUGAAUUGUACUUAAAGUGGUACAAACGCCUGUCACUGUAGUGGUACCUUGUAAGAUAUGUCUAUUGAUCCAUUAUUUGUAGGUAUGUAAUUGGAGUCUUGCAGUUUGUAUCUUAAAAGAGCCUAAAUAUACAAAUCUGCCUUUUUAGGG